CCCUUAGAUGUUCUGGGCCGCACGCGUGCUACACUGACCGGCGCAACAAGUUUCUUUCCUUGGCUCGAUAGGCCUGGGUAAUCUUUGAACGUCGGUCGUGAUGGGGAUAGAUCCUUGCAAUUUUUGAUCUUCAACGAGGAAUUCCUAGUAAAUGCGAGUCAUCAUCUCGCGUUGAUUACGUCCCUGCCCUUUGUACACACCGCCCGUCGCACCUACCGAUUGAAUGGUCCGGUGAAAUCUCGGGACGGCGGCUUGGUCGCUUGCGUCCGACUGCUGAAACUUGAUUAAGCCAUAUCAUUUAGAGGAAGGUGAAGUCGUAACA
rnacentral:rRNA from 1 species